rnacentral:tRNA from 1 species
GGAAGCGUAUUUCAUCCGGUGGUGGGCGUGGUCUUCAAAACCACUGAGCGGCCGCAAAGCCGCUGAUCGGUUCGACUCCGAUACGCUUCC